UACACACAGUAGUGAAGCCUAAGUGAAAGA
rnacentral:piRNA from 1 species